rnacentral:rRNA from 1 species
GACGAACGCUGGCGGCGUGCUUAACACAUGCAAGUCGAACGGAAAGGCCCUGCUUUUGUUGGGUGCUCGAGUGGCGAACGGGUGAGUAACACGUGAGUAACCUGCCCUUGACUUUGGGAUAACUCCAGGAAACUGGGGCUAAUACCGGAUAGGAGCUCCUGCUGCAUGGUGGGGGUUGGAAAGUUUCGGCGGUUGGGGAUGGACUCGCGGCUUAUCAGCUUGUUGGUGGGGUAGUGGCUUACCAAGGCUUUGACGGGUAGCCGGCCUGAGAGGGGGACCGGGGACAAUGCGACUGAGGGACGCCGCAGACUGCAACGGGGGGCAACGGUGGAGAAUAUUGCACAAUGAGGGGGAGCCUGAGACGGAGACGCCGCGUGCGGGAUGACGGCCUGCGGGGUGUGAACCGCUUUGGCCUGAGACGAAGCGUGAGUGACGGUAAUGGGUAAAGAAGCACCGGCUAACUACGUG